rnacentral:rRNA from 1 species
UACGAAGGGUGCUAGCGUUGUUCGGAAUUACUGGGCGUAAAGCGCGCGUAGGCGGUCACACAAGUCAGGGGUGAAAUCCUUGGGCUCAACCCAAGAAUUGCCCUUGAAACUGUAUGACUAGAGUGUCGGAGGGGAUAGCGGAAUUCCUAAUGUAGAGGUGAAAUUCGUAGAUAUUAGGAGGAACACCGGUGGCGAAGGCGGCUAUCUGGACGACAACUGACGCUGAGGCGCGAAAGCACGGGGAUCAAACAGG